UGGGGAAUCUUGCACAAUGGGGGAAACCCUGAUGCAGCGACGCCGCGUGAGCGAUGAAGGUCUUCGAAUCGUAAAGCUCUGUCCUAUGGGAAGAUAAUGAUGGUACCAUGGGAGGAAGCCCCGGCUAACUACGUGCCAGCAGCCGCGGUAAUACGUAGGGGGCGAGCGUUGUCCGGAAUUACUGGGCGUAAAGGGUUCGCAGGCGGCAUGGCAAGUCCGAUGUAAAAGGCGAAGGCUCAACCUUCGUAAGCAUCGGAAACUGUCAAGCUUGAGUGAAGGAGAGGCAAGAGGAAUUCCUAGUGUAGCGGUGGAAUGCGUAGAUAUUAGGAAGAAUACCGGUGACGGAGGCGUCUUGCUGAACUUCAACUGACGCUGAGGAACGAAAGCGUGGGUAGCAAACAGG
rnacentral:rRNA from 1 species